CCUUUGCGGCCUGCUUCAGGUGUCCCUGGCUUCGGUCAGGGGUGAAACUGGGAAGUCGGUGCGCUGCCUGCAAAACGAGCAAUGCCGACGCUGCCCCCGCAACGGUAAACGAGCCCAACCAUGCUUCUGGCCACUGUAUCCUCCGAUACGGGAAGGCGGCGUGGUUCGUCGUGUUCCCUGAACGCGGCAACUCGUGAGCCCGGAGACCGGCCUGGUGCUUUUCUUAGGU
rnacentral:ncRNA from 2 species